UGCGCAGCAUCUCCUAUACCUACCUCCUCGUGGUACUGGCCGGGGUACGAGUAACCUUGGGGAAGAUCGGGUAACCAACCCCGGUGGGAACUUUGGUCGUUUAUUGACAGGGAAGG
rnacentral:ribozyme from 1 species